ensembl:scaRNA
GUGAUCCAAAUCAUAUAUGAAAAAACAGAUGGUUCCUGCCCUCAGGGUCUGUAUAGUUAUUAGACUUUAUGUGCGAUGGCUCCAUACAUU